UCUUCUCUGGUAUAUCGGUAGAACAUCACCCUGUCAUAUCACGUGAUGAAAAGGUCACGUGAGCAACCCGGUGAAGAGCUGGGUUCGACUCCCAGGAGGAGAG